GAAGUGAUACAGGAUUUUCAGGCGUCCGUGCUUCAAGUGUCAGACUCCCCAUAUGAUGAACAGUGAGUAACUACAAUGUUGCACCCACAAGAGAAUGCCUGUGUAUUAUACACAUCUAACUUCUGCACAGCACCCCGAUAUAACACCUGUGUAUUACACACUGAUCACACUCUGUGGACAUUUUUUGGUGUUAUUUUUAGCAGUAUAAUUUAAAUUAACCACCAUGUUCCCUAAAAAAUAUCAAUUAUGAUGUUACAAAAUGAAAAAAGUAAAAUUCAACGAAGUGCAGCGAAAGUGUGUUUCUGGUUAACUAAAAAUAAAUAAAUAUUGUAGCGGACCCGUGGUAACCCAUUUUCCCCCCAGUAACCGGACGACACAAAGUUCCAGGGGUACAACGACACUUUAUUGGCCGCAUUCGGCUUUAUACUUUUCCCCAUGCAAGGGGUGGGUCACACACAAAGACAACGUCCCCUCCCAGGGUCAGGGGUCAUAUAACGAAUCUGGAACCUCAGUCCCUUUGUCCUGGACCUGUUUCCGCCCCUCAAUGUCCCCUCCUGGGGCCCUCCCCCUCCCAGGGGUCUCCUGACAGAAACGGAACUCCAGUCCCUUUGUCCCCUUUUCCCGCCACCCAUCCUUAGGGUUUUCCCACCUCCGAUGACCAGGGGGUCUUCAUCCCAUGAGCCUCUGUACCUGGGAGCCCCAGCGCGGGAAAGCUUCCCACCUCCUGGACUCCCAGUUACAGAAAGCCCACCAAACCGCCAUUGUCCUCAAAGAGUGUCCCCACCAAUCUGCGGGGUCCCUGAGUGAAACCAGGCAAGUGAAGCAUCUCCUUUCAGGACACGAAUGCUCCCCCUGGCCACCGCUCAUCUAAACGAACGGCGGCCACCCAGGGAAGCACUCAUUAAUUACUUCCCUUGCGCUUUCACACUUAUGUUGCGAGUUGCCAACGUUCUAAGUGAUUGGUGCAAACAUUCCAAAGGGCACUGGUGAGGUCCUUGUUCGGGAACUGAUCCACAAAUGCUCUCCCUGGAUGGCGUUCGUCUAACGAACAGGCCGCCACCCAGGGAAGUACGCGCUGAGGCUUCCCUUGCAGUUUGUGGUUUUGACACCUCGUUACGAGGUGCGAACGUUCUAAGAUAAUAUUCUAAUUGGGGUUUCGUGGUGGUCCCCAUUCCGGAGGUGAAUGGGUUCCCUUUGUGAUGGCACCUCCCGAACGGGGAGCAGGCAGUUUGGAGUGAACACACAUAGCCACUACAGGAGCAAGAAAGGGAAAAUACCGAAAAGGGAGGGAGAACACAUGCCCAAACAGUACACACACAACAGGGAAAUCAGAGCAACGCACAGUUUAGCAGCAGGUCCACUACACAGCUCCCCCUUAACCACUAGCUGGCAUCCGCAGGCAGAUCCCAACGGAUCAGCCUGUGGAUGUCCGGAGGAAGUACCCAUGGAUCACUUGUCCAGAGCUGUCUGCCUGGACAACCCGUUACCAUUGCCAUUCUGAUUGCUCAGUCUGUAAUAGAUGGUAAAGUCAUACGGUUGUAGGGCCAGGCUCCACCGUAACAACCUGGCAUUGUCCCCAGAGACCCGGGUAAGCCAUACCAUCGGGUUGUGGUCCAUGAACAGUUUAAAUGGCUGUCCAUAGGGCUGUAGGUUUUUGAGGGCCCACACCAUCGUCAGGCACUGCUUUUCGAUGGCGGCGUAGCUUACCUCCCUGGGUAAUAGCUUCCUGCUGAGGGUGUGCCCCAACUUGGCUCAGUACUGCUCCCAAUCCAAACAUACACCCUGUUCCAAAUUAUAAUGCAAAUUCUAUUUAACUGUCACUACGAUUAAAUAUUUUGUUUUUCAGUUUAACUCAUGGAUGGCAUUGUGUCUCAGGGCUCUUUUGAUCACUGAAAACAAUCUCGGACACCUGUGAUAAUUAGAUUGCCAGGUGAGCCCAAUUUAAGGAAAAACUACUAAAGGAGGGUGUUCCACAUUAUUAAGCAAAGCACCAUUUUCAUGCAAUAUGGGGAAGGAAAAGGAUCUCUCUGCUGCCGAAAAGAGUGAAAUAGUUCAGUGCCUUGGAUGAGGUAUGAAAACAUUAGAUAUUUCACGAAAACUUAAUCGUGAUCAUCGCACUAUUAAGAGAUUUGUGGCUGAUUCAGAGCACAGACGGGUUCGUGCAGAUAAAGGCACAUUGAGGAAGAUUUCUGCCAGAUCCAUGCAUCGGAUCAAGAGAGCAGCUGCUAAAAUACCAUUACAUAGCAUACAGAUAUUUGAAGCUGCUGGUGCCUCUGGGGUCCCACGGACAUCAAGGUGUAGAGUCCUCCAGAGUCUUGCAACUAUGCAUAAACUUUCUAUUCAGCCACCACUAACCAAUGCUCACAAGCAGAAAGAGCUGCAUUGGGCAGAAAAAUACAUGAAGACUAAUUUUCAAACAGUCCUGUUCACUAAUGGAACAGGAUGUAUGGAGUAGUGGAUGGUUGGUGGACGGCCACCCUGUUCCAACAAGGCUGCAACAUCAGCAAGGCGGUGGUGGAGUUAUGUUUUGGGCCGGAAUCAUGGGAAGAGAGCUGUUUGUCCCCGAAGGUGUAAAGAUGACCUCUGCAAAGUAUGUGGAGUUUCUUACUGACCACUUUCUUCCCUGGUACAGAAGGAAGAACUAUGCUUUCCGUAAUAAAAUCAUCUUCAUGCAUGUCAAUACACCAAGAAUACCUCUGCAUCAAUGGCUGCUAUGGGGAUAAAAGGAAAGAAAGUCAUGGUGUGGCCUCCAUCCUCCACUGACCUCAAUCCUAUUGAGAACCUUUGGCGCAUCCUCAAGCAAAAGAUCUAUGAGGGUGGGAGGCAGUUUACAUCCAAACAGCAACUCUGGGAGGCUAUUCUGACAUCUUGCAAACAAAUUCUAGCAGAAACUGUCCAAAAACUCACAAGUUCAAUGGAUGCAAGACUUGUGAAGCUGCUAUCAAAUAAGGGGUCCCAUGUUAAAAUGUAACGUGACCUGUUAAAAUGUUUAAAAAGUUAACAUGUUGUUAUAAGUUUGAAUGACAUAGCUUUUGGUUUCAGUAAAUGUGCUGCAAACACAACAAAUGACAAUUUUCAGUUCUUUACAACAUAUAAAGUGUUUUGAAACUUACUGUGCGUAAUAAUUUGGAACAGUGCAUUGUAAGUUUUUUAUGUUUAAAAAAAAAUACUCUUAUCAUUAGGAUGUUUGUUCAAUAAAAUUUGAAUUGUACUCUUAAUAGUUGAUAACAUGAGAAUUAUGCUGACUGUUAUUUACAUCAAUUAUUUAGGUAAAGGAGAAAAAUAUCAUUUGCAUAAUAAUUUGGAACAGGGUGUAGAGGCAUCUGUGUGGACGUGAAAAUGUUUCUUGGGAUUAGGAGCGGCCAAGACUGGGCAUUUACCAGGGCAUUCUUAAUGGCUUGGAACGUCUUCUCACACUCUGGGGUCCAGGCCACCUGCCGGGAUAGGUUCUUGCAGGUCUGGUCAUGACAGGUUUAGGUAUGGCGCUAUAGUUGGGUCAAACUUUCUGUAGUACCCUGCAGUCCCUAGGAAGGCCAGCACUUGGAUGUUCGUGGAUGAGGCUUACUGGCUACUGCUUCUACCUUGGCCGGUUCAGGUUUCUGUGCCCCACACCCCACCCGGUAUCCUAGAUACUGCACCUCUGCCAUCCCGAGGUGGCAUUUGCUCGGUUUUAGGGUCAACCCUGCCUCUCUAAUCCGGUCAAGCACAGCUCCUACAUGGGCCAGGGGUUCCUCCCAGGUAUCGCUCUAUAUAGCGAUGUCGUCCAGGUAGGUGCAUGCAUAAAACUAGAGGCCCUCCAGUAGCCAGUCCACCAUCCUCUGGAGAGUGGCCGGGGCAUUCUUCAUUCCAAAUGGUAUUACUCUAAAUUUCUACAGGUCGAAUGGGGUGACGGAGGCCGACUUAGGAAUUGCCUUUGCAGCUAGGGGAAUUUGCCAGUACCCUUUGCACAGAUCAAUGGUGGUGAGGUACCUGCCCCGGGCCAUCCUAUCUAACAGCUUGUCAAUGCAUGGCAUGGGAUAGGCAUCCGAGACCAUCUUGUCAUUGAGCCUCCGGUAGUCCACACAGAACUGGGUGGUCCCAUCUUACUUGGGACUCUUGGGCGGUUUAAUGAUUCCUAAAUGGAGUAUCUCCCGGAUCUCCUGCCUCAUGCUCUCCCGUACGGCCUCGGGAAUUUGAUAUGGGCUUUGCUGCAGGAGUUGCUGGUCUGGCCUUUUCCACUAGCGUGGUAACUCCACAGAGGUUGGAGAACAUCUCCCUCCUGACAGCCAGCAUCCGCAGCGCCUGGCUGCGUUCAUCGUGGGUUAGCCGGUCCCCUAAUUGGACUUCCUCUAUGGACCCUGUCUGAGCUCCCUCCUCCAGGAGGUCAAGCAGGGGAAGAUUAUCGUAAUCUUUUGAAGGCAGGGGCCACAUCCUCUGUCCACUCGUGGUAGGGUUUCAGCAUGUUAACAUGCAAUAGGUGUUGGACUCCGGUACCCGAGUAAGGGCCGAUCACAUUUCCAUUCCACUACCCGGUAUGCUAGGCAGCCUGUAGCCUGUCAUGCUGGAUGGAUUUUAAAAUUAAACCUUCUGUCCCACCUGAAAGCUGCGGCUCCUGGUUCCAUUAUCAUACCAUGUGCGCUAACGCCUCUGGGCCGUCUGGAGGUUCCCCCGCACCAAGUGGGUGAGUUCCUCCAGACGGUCUCUAAACUCAUUGACAUAUGGGACGAUGGGGGUUCCUCCUUGUUCCCCAGCUAUUUCCUGGGAGCCACCAGCUGCUUGGUGGUUGUAGAAGCUGACCCUGGUUUUCUUGUCUCCACUAUGCGGUACAGUAGUCCCUGAUUCCAUCCCUCCCUACCUGACCAGAGGUUGUCAGUGCCCUAUAACCCUGAAGAGUGGGGUCUAAUAUUACCUCCCUUUCAAACUCAGCCGGGGUAUCCCAAGGUAUGGGGCUCGGGGCAGGAGUAGGUUCACUGGGCACUGAGGGCAAGGGAUUUGCACGGGUGGCCCUGGUGUGGGACCAGUAGGGGUCCCAGGGGUAGGGUGGCUAGCACAGGGUUUUUUCUUACGUGGUUGUCUGCGGGGUACCUGGUUGUGGAGGUGGGUAUGGGAGCCUACCUGAGCCUCAGAGUGUGAGCCGUCAUGGGUGGUGCGGGCUUGUUGACGGGUUAUGAUGGGGUGAGCUUCUUCAGGAGCCUAGAGAUGUACGUAGAUGGAGGUGAGAUGGCCCAGGUCAUUGCAGAGGAGCACCUCCGCGAGUAGCUUGUCCAUGAGGCCAACUGUCACCCUUCUGCUCCCGGCGCCCCAGUCGAGGUGGACUUGUGCAGUGGGUAGGCAGUAGAUCUCUCCCCCGGCUACUCAGACGGCGAUUGUCCCGCCGGUCUUCUGAGUCGCAGGUAUGAGUGGGGAGUGGACUAGGGUGAGGGUGGCCACGGUAUCCCUCAGACUCUACACAGUGCGUCCGUUCAGCUGUACGGGCUGCCGGUGCUGGUCUCUGUUGUUGUAGUAGGCUUGGAGGGGAUUGGCUUCAUGGAGACAGGACCAGGUUGCUUAACUGGAGGUUGGAGGAUCCAUGAUGGCAGCCUGGUAACAAUGCGCUGCCACUCUCGGGGGGUAGGGAGCCACGGUGUUGAUGAACUGGGGUCGCUGUCGAUCCUGGGGGCACUCCUGUUUGAUGUGCAGAGGCUGGCGUCACUUGAAACAGAUCGGCUCGGCCCCAGAUGGAGCCUGUGGGGUUAUGGUCCUAGCCAGGGGACCAUAAGGUGGGAGAGCUGUAACCAGGCUAGGCGGAGGUAUGAAUCACAUUGGGUGGUCGGUAGCUGGUGAGGGAGUAGGGCGUUGGGACCGCCUGGUGUAAGCCUACUCAUCGGCCCGUUUGGCGGCUUCAGCGAAGUUCUUGGACUGCCUAUCCCUCACCCAUUCCUGAGUUUCGGUGGAGAGUUCGUUAUAGAAGUGUUCCAGCAGAAACAGCUUGUGAUAGACCCUCUGUCCCUGAAUUUUAAAGUUUGUGUCUUUUCGCCUAACCUUUCGACCAAGUACAUUUAUGCCUUAUUUCACCAUCGUCCAUUCGACCAACGAAAGAACUACUGAACGACUGAACACCCAAAUGGGGAGUGUGGCGCUUGUUAACCUUAUUGACCCCUCUUAACACCUCCAAUAACCGCGAACACCUCAACGUUCUAAGUGGUCGACUGGGUGGUCGGUGUUCGUAUGCUCGAACACGUGGUGGUGACCAUCUUGGAAUACGAAUGCAGCCAGUGGUGUUUUGUCGUCAAGUGCAUGGAACUAUAAUCGGACACUCGGUUAUGAACACCACUAAGACUUCCAUGUUCAUGGAUGUUAGGCACUAUAAGUACAAAAUGGACGACGUUCAGUAAUAAUAUCUUCCGAACCCCUAUGACUAUGAGAAUGGAUGCACAAACAGUUAUUUUGUCUAUUAACCCUAGUUUAAUACUCUGGAAGGAGACCGGCCGCACAGUCUGAUUCUAUGGAACUAUUCUGGGCAGGAGCCUCGUGUGCGGUCCGUCAAACAUACAAACUCCAUAUAAAUCCUGAACCCCUGAACCGAUAUGGGUGAUUUUUUUAUAUAUUGUUCCCCCCAGAUCUGGGCUAUCAGGGGAUGUGCUUUUGUUUUGGGGUACUUUCAGAUUGUAUUAAAAUUAUGUUCUUUUUUCACCUGAAGAUAAUUGAGUUAAAGACAGUAGUUGACUUAAUUAUCUCCCAGGCAGAGUGGAGGGACUGCAUGUCCUGUAUGGGAGUGUCACACUGUAUAACUCUGUUAUUAUUGGUUGAUAAUUUUGUAUCACUGUCCCCAACAAGAUCCACAUGGGUGUAUCCCUUGGCUGGGGACUUGUAUAAAAGGCCAGUCUGGCUACCAUUAAAACAGUCUUACUGCACCCUCAAUACAGAAUCUUGUCUCUUAUUGUAUGGAACUGCUAUAUGGCUAUCACUACUAGCUCUUGUAAGAGCUUCUCUACUUGGAAUGCAGUAACACUCCUCAUACAUGGGAGAAGGACAUCUCUGGUGGUGGAAACCCCUCUACAGUUGGGGUGACCGCUACACAGCUGAAAAAUCACCUCGGGGGACUUCGCGUGCUGCGAGUCCACCAAAUUCAGGACAGCUCUGUGGAUGCGGCAUGUCCUUCUCCCCUUUUCUUGUCCCUCUUAACUUCCGCCGGUAUGCCUCCGGAGUUAUGGCCAUACCACUUUCACCGCAUCAUAGACCCGGAUCUGGUCCCCUGGUAUUGCUCGGUAUGCCUCUGCAGCCCUGAUGGUCAGCUUACCAGCCAGGAUGGUGACCCAAUCUGCAGGACUGACUUCUAGCAGUAGGCACUGCCGUUCAAAAUCCUGCAGGAAGUCUUCAAUGCCCUCUUUUGCAUCCCUGAACUCCAUGAAGGCAUUAUGGGGCAACUUCGGUUUCUGGGCAGAGGUAACCGGACCCUCUCUUGUCCUUUGUUCCUCUGCUUGUGUGGGGGUCUCCCCCUGCGUCUGAGGCAGGACGAAGGCUUAGGUCUCAGAGAUGAGCUUGGCCAGGAGUUCCGCUGAGGGAGCCCCUUUGAAUAGGGCCAAGCACCCUCUGAUUGCUUUGUUGAAGGACUCUUCUUCACCCUCCACACAGUUCCAGGGGUACAACAACACUUUAUUGGCCACAUUUAGCUUUAUACUUUUCCCUAUGCAAGGGGUGGAUCACACAUAAAGGGUUAAAUGACCCCUGAGAGGGGGUGGCCCCCACCCCCUCCCAGGCUCCACCCCCUCUCAGGGGUCAUUUAACGGAUCCGGAACCCCAGUCCUUUUGUCCCAUGUUCCUGUCACUCAGUGUCCCCUCCCAGGGCCCUCCCCCUCCCCCCAGUGGUCUCCUGACGGAAACGGACCUCCAGUCCCUGUUCCCGCCACCCAUCCUCAGGGAUUUCCCACCUCCAGUGACCAGGGGGUCUUCAUCUACCUGGGAGCCACAGAGCGGGAAAGCUUCCCGCCUCCUGGACUUCCAGUUACAGAAAGCCCACCAAACCGCCAUUGUCCCUAAAGAGUGUCCCCACCAAUCUCAGGGACCCCCAGAAUGGUAACCUCCAUGAACAGCCUCUGUUCGCGGGGUCCCUGGGUGAAACCAGGCAAGGGAAGCAUCUCCUUUCGGGACACGAAUUCUCUAUACAAACUGCAACCACCCAGGGAAGCACUCAUUAUAGCGGCACUGUCAUGCCGAACUUACCUUUCUUUAAUCGAUUCCUUUUCUCUCCCUCUGUCAGGAUCUGUUCUUCAUUUCUUCCUAUCUGCUCUACUUUUCUUUAAAACAUAAGACCAGCAGAGGAGCAAAGUGUGCUUCAUUUCCGGUGGUCAGAGAAAUUUUCCCACAAUUCUUAGCUUUCCUCCCUGUUCCUGCGAUGCAUGCUGUCAGUAUUGCCGAAUGUCCUGUCACUUAGGACGCCGGCAAAACUACUGAAUUGCGUCCUAACAGAAUGAGAACAGUUUCUCCAUUCGUGUUAGAACUCAAUUCGGGACUUUGUUCGGAUCGGAAUUUCAUUCAAAUGAAUGAAACUCCGAUCUGAUUCCUGCCGCGGCUGCAUUUUGCAGCCGCUUAGUAGAUAGCUCCCUAAUACCAUGGGAAUUAGGGAGCUAUCUACCAAAAGGCUGAAAGACCUAAAUUGGUCCCAACCCACCGCUCAAGGGUGGGGGCCAAGGGGGGGAGGACAAUAGGUCCCCCCUAUUACUUAGUAUUAGUAAAUUCUGCCCCUACUCGCUAUACCGCAAGUAGGGGCAUGUCUAUUAAACAGUGAGCAGCCUGUGGCUGUUCACUGCUAAAAAACAAGCAAACCCUAGUACCCCCCCCGGCCUUAAAGGAUAAUGAGGGGGGGGACCUAUUGUCCUCCCCCCAGCCCCAACCCCUGAACGGUGGGUGGGGGCCAUAAAUAACAAUGGGUGGGGCGGGUGGGGGCCAUAAAAGACAAAGACUAUUGUCCUCUUCCCCCACCCCUGAGCGGUGGGUGGGGGCCAUAAAUAACAAUGGGGGGGACCCUGAGCGGCGGGUGGGGGCCCUAAAUUAAAAUGUCCCCCUCCCCCCUUCCAAGGGCACUAGGGGUCCCCAAGCCCCUAGUCACCCCCCCCCCAAAAAAAAAUAGUGAGGGGGAAAUAAAAUAAACUACCUGUAAAAAUUAAAAAUAAAACUUACCAUUUGAUGUCUUCUUUUUUCUAAAAUCUUCAUUUUUCAGACCCAAAAAAGGCCAAUUAAAACCAUUAUACCCGUCUUAAUACCCGGACCUGCCCCGCCCUGCAAUUAGGCUCAGAACACUCUGAUUGGAUGGCUCAAAAUCCAUCCAAUCAGAGUGCUCUGUGUCAUUUUACACAGCGUGAGAAAAUUCCAAAGAACCUUCCCACGCUGUGUAAAUUGACUAGCACUCUGAUUGGAUGGAUUUCAAGCCAUCCAAUCAGAGUGUUCUGAGCCUAAUUGCAGGAAGCCUUGCCCCGCCCUGCGGAGCUCAGUCUGUGCCAUGCCCUCGCCGGGUGAAGAUGGAUUAAUUUUUUAGCGUCAGGUUUUUUCUUUUUCGUAAGAUUUUUUUUUUUGCGCUCAGGUUUUUUAUUUUAUUUUUUACACGUUCGAUGGGUAUUAUUGUUUUUAUUUGGCCUUUUUUGGAGCUGAAAAAUUAAGAUUUUAGAAAAAAGAAGACAUCAAAGUUUUAUUUUUUUACAUUUAGUUAUUUUAUUCCCCCCUCACUAUUUUUAGAGUGAGGGGGGUAGGUUGGGGAUUCUUUUUUUAUUUGGGUGGGGGGUGACCAAGGGCUUAUAUGGCCCCCACCCACUGCUCAUGGGUGGGGGCCGGAGGGUUGAAGGACAAUAGGUCCCCCCAAUUAUCAUUUAUGGCCCCCACCCACUGCUCAUGGGUGGGGGCCGGGGGGGAGGACAAUAUGUUCCCCCCCUCAUUAUCCUUUAGGGCCCCCACCCGCCGCUCAGGUUGACAUGUCCCUACUCGCGGUAUAGCGAGUAGGGGCAUUCGGGAGAUUUUAUGAGAUUUUAUGCUAUUAUUGGAGUCAUAUUGACCCCCAUAGAGUGAGGGAGGACAUGGGGGGCUUAGGAAGUGGCGAGGAGCACUGCUCCUUGCCGCUUCUAUCUUUACAUUUUACAAGUAGGGAGCUGUGAGCCGGUAGCUCCCUCCUUGUAAUAAACGAACGAACACUGAUAUUCAGUAUUUUUUUGUUCGUCUGACAUUUCUAUUCAUUCAUUCGUCUUUCUGACGAAUGAAUGAAUAGAUAAAAUUCCCGUUCGCAUGCCCAAGUGUUUAAUUGGGCAUGUGCGGUGAUUUCAUAGUGCUACCCACACAAAAAUGGCGGCGCCCUAAAUAUAGGUAGGGGCAGAAAAUAAAGAUUAAAAAAUAGGUAAUGUGGGGAUCUUAGGGGGUUAGUUAGAUGUAGUGGAGUCGGGAGGGGGGUUAAAAAAAAUGUGAUUCAGCCAUGACAGUGCUGCUUUAAUUACUUCCCUUGCUGUUUCACACUUAUGUUGCAGGUUGCCAACGUUCUAAUUGAUUGGUGCGAACAUUCCAAGGGGCACUGGGGAGGUCCUCAUUUGUGAACCGAAUGAGGUGGGAAGCAAUCCACGAAUGCUCCCCCUGGAUGGCGUUUGCCUAACGAACGAGCCACCACCUAGGGUAGACAUGCGCCAAGGCUUCCCUUGCAGGCUCAGGCACUGAAGGUAGUGGUGUUGUGGAGACAGGCUCAGGCACUGAGGGUAGUGGUGUUGUGGAGACAGGCUCAGGCACUGAGGGUAGUGGUGUUGUGGAGACAGGUUCAGGCACUGAUGGUAGUGGUGUUGUGGAGACAGGCUCAGGCACUGAGGGUAGUGGUGUUGUGGAGGCAGGCUCAGGGAAAACAAAAAUAGUUGCUUGUGCUAGGAGCACACAUAUUCUAAACUCCCUACUGGGAUUGUCUCUAAAACAAGUCGUUGAGGAGCCAACUCGCAAAGAGGCCAUACUAGAUUUAGUGUUAACAAAUGGAGAUUUCGAGGCUAUAAAUUAGAGGGGCAAAGGUUUAAAAAUAAUAUCAGGAAGUAUUACUUUGCUGAGAGGGUAGUGGAUGCAUGGAAUAGCCUUCCAGCUGAAGUGGUAGAGGUUAACACAGUAAAUGAGUUUAAGCAUGUGUGGGAUAUGCAUAAGGCUAUAUUAACUAUAAGAUAAGGCCAGGGACUAAUGAAAAUAUUUAGAAAAUUGGGCAGACUAGAUGGGCGGUGUUAAGACCUGCAGUGGUUAUGGUACGGCGGUCUUCUAUUCCUUCUCCAAUAGCUGAGCAUAAGUGAUUAUAACUGCAGUAGGAGGUAGAGGAAUAGUGUAGAUGAAUGCAGCUUCCAAGAUGAUUCUCCCCAGCAAAUAGAAUAUUCCCCAAACAUGAGCCUAGACUUCAUGAAGGGUGUAACAGGAAUGAAAUUUAUUGAUGACACACUGGCUUUUAUGAUAAAUCCUCCUGCAAGAGGACCUCCCACAGUAAACAAAGACAAUAACCAAUCAAAAUACAGCUUUACAGUAACCCCCGCCCUCUCUCUGCCUGGGAGAUAUUGAGAUAAGUUAAGGAAUAACCCAAUUAUCUCCAGGCAGAGGGCACACACUUUUCCCAAAAGUAAGAACACCCCUUUCCACACAAGGUAUCCCCACAAAUCUGGGGGACCAACAUAUCCAAAUUUCACCCAGAUCGGUUCAGGGGUUCUUAAAAAGUAUGGAAGUCACAAGUUACCGACCACACACGAGGCUCCUGCCCAAAACAGUUCCACGAAUUCAGCGUGUGCGGUCGGUCAAUUCAGAAAAAGGCAUAAAACGAAUAAAAGUCCCAAAUGGAUCCUCCUGGCUCAUAGAAGCGAUUGCUCCCCUUGUCCGUAUGAACAAAACUACCGAAUGGCGCUCUCCUGGCUGUCCCGCAACUAAAGGAAGCAGGCGUUCGGUAGUUUCAGCAGUGAUUCGGGAGUAGAGUGUCCGAUUUUAGUUCCAGACACUCGACGACCAAGUCCCGCUGCCUCCUUUCAUGCAAACAAGAUGGCCGCUGUUUUCUGUUCCACGUGGCAUUCGGCUAUACGAAAAGCGGCCGCCCAGAGAGCGCUUAAUAGAUGGUUCUUUUGAAGUUAAUGAGCCAGGAGGGUGGUCGGUGUUCGGUAGUUUUAAACUACCGAACCAAUAGAUUCAACAUGCACAAAAUACUGCAGAAAAAGCCCGAACAUAGGAGAAAAUACAGAACUAAGUCUAUUUUCUUCACAGGCCGAAUGGUUCUUAUCUGCCGUCAUAUUCUAUGUUUCUUUGUUUGUGGUUUUGACACAUUGUUACGAGGUGCGAACGUUCUAAGACAACAUUGUAAUUGGGGUUUCGUCAUGGUUCCCGUUCGGGAGGUGAAUGGAUUCCCUUCGUGACGGCACCCCCCGAACGGGGAGCAGGCAGUUUUGGGCGAACACACAUAGCAACUACAGGAGCAAUAUAGGAAAAAUACUGAAAACAUAUGGCCAAACAGUACACAAACAACAGGGAAAUCAGGGCAAUGCACAGUUAAGCGGCAUCAGGGCAAUGCACAAUAUAAACGGGUCCUUUUGGUCCUCUUCUCGGAGGCUGUCUUAUACACACAAGUCAUUUGUGGUGUGGGUAAAUAACUGAAGGGGCUGGCCUUGAACAGACCUCUUUUCCUGUGCGGGGUUUCAUUUUCCAUAGUGAGUCCAUGUCAUAGAAUGUUGUCUUACACACCCAGUAUAAUUGCAGCCACACGUUUCACAUUGUCUUCUUAUUCAUUUACUGCUGUGGAGAAAUGGAUGGGAGAUUAUUGGGCAGCCCUCCUCCAGUUGAUUGAGGGUCUUCCAGACGUCUCAUACAUUUACUUAUCCCUAUGUGAUGGUUGGCUCCAUCUCUGGACUUUUUCAGGGAAUUUGAGCCAUUUUUGAAUGAUAUAUUUUGUAAAUUGUUGUGUAAAAUUCUGAGGAUAGUAAAGUUAGUAAAUCUCCCCCAGAUUGCUGCCUCUGAUUUGCUCAGAAUUUCUAUUCACAAACAUGUGUAGCUAGUGAAUUAUGUUAUGUGUUACAAAACCACAGGCAGGACAAGUGGAUGCCCAAAACAGAGUCCUCCCAUACCGCAAAACAAGGCUGUGUGUUUACAUUCCAAAGUAAGGGAACCCAGGCUGCAUGUUACCCCCAUGUGCCCUUAAUUCAUAUUGCUCUCUGUGUGACAGAUACCAUGUCCUCACCCUAGGGUGGCUGCCCAGAUGCCCACAGUCCACUAUGAGAUGCCCAACGGAUAUAAUACAGAUUAUGGAGCUGAGAGACUGCGAAUCCCUGAGGGGCUGUUUGACCCAUCCAAUGUUAAGGUGUCCAUACCUCUCUAUUACUGACCCAAUCCCCCUCCUAUUACUGACCCAAUCUCUCAUCUGACCCAAUCCCCCCUCCUAUCACUGACCCAAUCUCCAUCCUAUUACUGACCCAAUCCCUCAUCUCAUCCAAUCUCCCCUCCUAUUACUGACUUAAUCCCCCUCCUAUUACUGACCCAAUCCCCCUCCUAUUACUGAUCCAAUCCGUCAUCUGAUCCAAUCCCCCCUCCUAUUACUGACUCAAUCUCCAUCCUAUUACUGACCAAAUCCCCCCCUAUUACUGAUCCAAUCCCUCAUCUCAUCCAAUCCCCCUCCUAUUACUGAUCCAAUCCCUCAUCUGAACCAAUCCCCCUCCUAUUACUGACCCAACCCCUCAUCUGAUCCAAUCCCCUCCUAUUACUGAUCCAAUCCCCCUCCUAUUACUGAUCCAAUCCCUCAUCUGAUCCAAUCCCCCUCCUAUAACUGACCAACUCUCCCUCAUAUUACUGAUUCAACCCCUCUUCUAUUACUGAUCCAAUCCCCCUCCUAUUACUGACCCAAUCCCUCAUAUGAUCCAAAACCCCUCCUGUGACGAAGUGUCCUUCGCCACUUGUGCCUGGAGGGGACUACUGGCUAGCCUCCUGCCUUCCGACUAUGGCUCCUGUGCUGAUAGCUGUAUUUUCCCCUGCAGAAAGGUUUAUUUGUGUAUUUCUGCCGGGGCGUUCAGUACUUUCAGUAGUGCUACCCCAGAUAGCUAUGCUAUGGAGCCUAUUCGUGUAACGAAAGACUAUGGAAAAGACUUUGGCUCCAUGGCGAUUGAACUGUAUGUAUGUGAUCUGAGCGCCAUUCGGUAAUAAUGUGCACUCAGAUCUAAGCUAUCUGGGGAUAUGUUGCAUGUAUAGGUUUUAUGUAGUAAUUGUAACAUUGUGUAAUUUUAUGUCUUUUUGUAACCAUGUGGUUAAUGGAGUCUUGCCUCUGUCCUGGGAGAUAAUUUGAUUACUUCCCAAUUAUCUCCAGGAUAGAGAGGAGGGAUUGUGAUGUCACUGUGGGAGUGUUUUGUUUGUAUUGUCUGUGAUUGGCUAAUAUCCAAUAUGUGUCCCAUUGUUCCAUCAGGUCCCCUAGGGGAGUGUCCACCUGGUGGACACUUGCAUAAAUACCGGGCAGGUAGCCCUCAAUAAAGCAGACCUACUUGCACCUUUCUUGAAGCCUUGGCUCAUGCUUGGGGGAAGGGAUACCUACACUCUGGGGAUUGCUAUAAUCACUUUCUCCCCAGAGUAAGCUCUUGUAAGAGCUUGAUUUGUUCCUGCUACGCUCUCUGGAUUUAGGAGAGGUUCACCCACUAGGAGCUGGAUCCUGGUCAUGAAUCCACAGCGGGUGAGAGACGGCGAGACCCUGGCGCAGCUGCAGCGGCUGGAAGUGGGGUCCGCAGUGCUGAUGGUGUCAGGUGGAGUGCUCAGAGUCCUCGGCAAGCGUAAGGAGCAUCGAUUGGCGGAGGUACUUGGUCGGAGUGCCAGCGGUCCGUCACAUUUGGUGGCAGUGGUGGUAUGGCAUCCUAGUGCGAGGACCAGCAGCUCGGAGACACUGGUAAGGUGUGGAGUUACAGAUUUAUAAUUGAGGGCAACGCUAGCACUCGUGCAGCGCCCCUAUCUACAGAGGAACUCAGGAGAAUGGAGCGACCUAGCAACCGUGCAGCGUCCCCAUGUGAGGAGGAGUUUCUUUGGAGGUCGCAGCAACACUUGGCCCAACAGGGUGGGCCUGUAUCAGAGGAGGGCAUACUGGACUGGAGAGAUGCCACUCGAAAGGAUCUGUGGUAUGAGGCCUUAUAAGGGGGUACAACAGCGGCGGAGAGAGAGCCUUCCCAGUGAGUAACAGUGGUUCCAGGUACUUGUGGACCUGCAGUCACCUUUCCUAGGGGAGCAACCCCUGGAUGAGUGGGUAAUGGAACUGUGGGGCCUGAUUUGGAAGGAGUUGUGGCUGGAUGGAGCUUACCGGGCACUAAAGUGGUACACCACCCAGCGCAACCCUUGGAUGACUAACCACUAUCUGCCGGAAGGAGACGAUUAUAAUGGCCCGGGCUUAUUGUGGGAUGCCUUUGAGAAGGGCAAUGACUUUGGAUGCCCAGCAGAAUGUUAGCUCUGGGACAUCCACAACAUCAGGGAAACUCUGCUGGAUCUUCCCCGAGUGGACGACCUGGGGCCAGACCUGAUUCAUCUGGUCACAAUGGAGUGGGAGCUGGAGCAGAGCUACCAACAUCUGUUCAGCUUAGCACAGCAACCAAGUAUACUACCAGGAGUAGGGACAAUCGGUCCUGCUCCCCAGCGGCAGUAUACUUUGCAGGGAGAGGAGACAACCAGUCUCCCUCCCCCUUGGAGGCCUGAGUUCCAGGAGGAGGUGAUGUUCGAUUCCUCCACUGUACAGCAGCCAGCGUCCUGGGGAGGGGAGGCAACCGGCCUCUGUCUCCAACAGCAGCCAGAGGUACCAGAGGUGAGGGACCUCAUAGACUUGGCCUGGGAAGACCCACAGAUGGCAGGCGGAGAUGGGACCAAGGUCUCUCUUCCGGCCCUACAGGGAUGCAGGGCAGCCGGCAGCAGUAUACUUUGCCGGGAGAGGAGACAACCGGUGUCUAUCCCCUGCAGAGGCAUGAAUUCCAGGAGGAGGUGAUGGUCAAUCCCUCCACCUUACAGCAACUAGCGUCCUGGGGAGUGCGGGCAACCGACCUCCCCCAACAACAGCAGCCGGAGAUACCGGGAGAGGGGUAAGAAAACCCUAACCACACUGGCGCAGAUAGGACCGCGGUCUCUGUGCCAGUCCUACAGGGAUGCUGGAUGGGCGGUCCAGAUCCCCAACCAACCCCGCAGGGAUGCCAGGAGAAGGAGGUAAGCGAAACUUCCCCUCCCCAGCUACAUCCCAACCAGGUCCUGGGGGCAAUGGAUGAGCCAGCGAUAACCACUGACCCCCUCCCAGCAGCAAAGCUGGCAUCCCUGGCAUCCAUGCCCUCCCUUUUCCCCUGGUUCAGAGCCUGAUUUACCACGGGUUACCCCAGCGGAAGAGCUGGCAGCAGGGCAGAGCGCCGCUGGCCUUUGCCCCCCAAGCAACACCAGCAGUUUGCCUAGCUGCACCAGAGGGACCAAGAGUGCUGCGCUGUCCCACUACAAACUUGAACCUACAGGCCAGUACCAUUUAUUGUGGGGGGUUACUCUGCGUAUUUUUCUUUGUGGGUGGGCUGCCCGACUAACCUAGGUACUGACCGGCAGAAGGUCAGGUACCUGUUUAGUCUUCCCCCCCAAAGGGAAGAUGUGUGACGAAGUGCCCUUCGCCACUUGUGCCUGGAGGGGACUACUGGCUAGCCUCCUGCCUUCCGACUAUGGCCCCUGUGCUGAUAGCUGUAUUUUACACUGCAGAAAGGUUUAUUUGUGUAUUUCUGCCGGGGUGUUCAGGACUUUCAGUAUGUGAGUAGUGCUACCCCAGAUAGCUAUGCCAUGGAGCCUAUUCGUGUAACGAAAGACUAUGGAAAAGACUUUGGCUCCAAUGGCGAUUGAACUAUAUGUUUGUGAUCAGAGCGCCAUUCGGUAAUAAUGUGCACUCAGAUCUAAGCUAUAUGGGGAUAUGUUGCAUGUAUAGGUUUUAUGUAGUAAUUGUAACAUUGUGUAAUUUUAUGUAUUUUUGUAACCAUGUAGUUAAUGGAGUUUUGCCUCUGUCCAAACCCCCUCCUAUUACUGACCCAAUCCCCCUCCUAUUACUGAUCCAAUCUCAUUCCUAUUUCUGACCCAAUCCCCCUCCUAUUACUGACCCAAUCCCUCAUCUGAUCCAAUCCCCCACCUGUUACUGACCCAAUCCCCCACCUGUUACUGACCCAAUCCCCAUCCUAUUACCGAUCCAAUCUCCCUUCUAUUACUGACCAAAUCUCCCUCCUAUUACUGACCCAAUCCUUCUCCUAUUACUGACUCAAUUUGUUACAAUUUUAUUGUCCCUGUUAUUGAUCCUUUUAUUGUCCCUCUGUUACUGACCCCCUGUUACUGUCCUCUUUAAUGUCCCCACUCUUUAUUUGCUCCCUGUUACUGACCCCUUUAUUGUCCCCCCCUUUCUCCCCCGUUACUGACCCAAAUAACCCUCCUCUCCAUUUGGGUGAAUAUAUUGACUUUCUGCUUUUCUCAGGGCCUUUCAGGUAACACCAUGCUGGGUGUCGGCCACGUUGUCACCAGUAGCAUCGGAAUGUGUGAUAUAGACAUCCGGCCUGUGAGUGUCUCCUAUAUUCUCCUGGAAUGCACAGUGUAAAAUAAAAAUAGAGUCAACAGCACAAGUAGUAAUGGGGGAGAGAAUAUGAGGCAUAAUGGGCAAUAUCAGGACUGUUGGUAACUGGGGAGAGGCCAUGGUAAAUAGAUUCUCAGGAACACUGAAUAGUGCAUGGGGUUGGGGGUGGCUAGAUUCCUAGGACAUGGUGUAGUGGAGGGGUUAUUUGGAACAUGGAGAAGUUGGGAGGGGGAGAUUCCUGGGAGAUGGUGUAGUGGGGGGGGUGGGGGGGUUCUCUGGAACAUGGAGAAGUGAGGAGAGGGAGAUUCCUAGGACCUGGUGUAGGUGGAAGGAGGGGCUAGAUUCCAAGCACAUGGUGUAGUGGAUGGGUUCUUUGGAACAUGGAGAAGUGGAGAGGGUGAGAUUCCUAGGAAAUGGUGUAGUGGGGUUUUUGUUUGGAACAUGGAGAAGUAGGGAGGGGGAGGUUUAUAGGACAUGGUUGUAGCAGAAUGGACUCUCUUAAUAUACUUUUAUCCUGUUGUUCGUCUGUCCAUACACCCUCGUUCAUUUACCGAACCCCCAUCUUUGUGGUCCCCUUGUUUGCACCUUUUAACAACCGACCACCGCUGGCUGUUAACCUCAAAUUGCUCAUUAAAGAAAGUGUUUCACCGGUGUGGCCACUGUUCGUAUAACUGAACACGUGUUCAAACAAUUUGCGGCCAUUUUGUCUCCCAAACGCGGGCAGCGGUACAUGGUCGUCGCCGGCGUGGAACUCUUUUCAGCUACACGACCCUGCAAACACCUGGUAAACUGGUACCGCUGCCCAUCCAACUUCCCGAACCGUUAUGAGAACUGCAUUCGGGAGGCAUGAACUACCGAGCAGGGGGAACAUUUGUACACUAACAGCCUGGGGGACCAUUCGUCACUGUUCGUGCGAGAAACCCAGAAAGAUGACCGGUCUUUGCCUUGUUUCCUCUGGAACUGUUUUGGGGUAUCACCUCAUGGUGUUCUCAGAUCCAAGCUAUUCAAUGGUAUGACUUUUUCAUUGGGUUCUGAAGUAUUAAAAUCUAUUUUUGGGGUGUUUUUAAAUAUUGUAGAUUUUUCUGUACCUGAGAGACAAUUGAGUUAUAGAUUUUUCUUACACAAUUUUCUCUCAGGCCCAGAGGAUCUUGGGAGGAAAAGCCCUGUAUUUUUGUAUAAGAGACCCCAUGUAGGGGUCUGUGCAUAAAAAGCCAAAAUAAUAUCAGUUGACUCCCAGAACUAUGUGUCGUCAGAUUGAUGGGGAGAAAGAGUCUUGGAGUAUUACACUGUUUCUUUUAGCUCAGAGGACUGAACAGCGGAGAUACCUAUGCUAGGUAUUGGAGCUCCUUUGAGCACUAACCCUGGGCCACCAGCACAGCAAGUACUAGGACCCAUCUCCAACCCCCAAGCCACUCGAUACCCAGCGCGCAGCGGAAUACAGUGCCAUCUGUGCAAGCAAUUCUGGCACUAUCAGAGGAACUGUACCCAGAGCAGGAACCAAUCUGCGUGGAUCCGACGAGAACCAUCCCCUCCAGCACGGGCAGCUGCCCACUAUUAUCAUACAAAGGUCGCCUCCCGGAUGCACCCCUGGAUCUGAAGAACAAUGGGGUACCCUGCACGAGACCGACCCAGUGCAGGCUGCUACUGACAACUGGCAACACCAUCGCCAGUCAGUGGAGCUGAACUGAAGAGCAGCUCAAGGCCUGUGAGAUACAGUAGCCACCCUCACAUUGGUCAAGCAUCACCUGGAUCCAGAUGCAGACCGAACCGGUCCGUAGCUGUGCGGGUAGCCGGGGGAGAAGUACACCGGCUACCUACUGCGAGAGUUCACCUGAAUUCUGGUGCUGGCUCGGGUUUAUUUGAUGUGGGGCUGAUGCAGGAACUCCCCGCUGACGUCUUGCUGGGGAACGAUUUCGGCCAGUUGACCCCAGCAUUUCUACCAUCCCAGGUCACCAACGAGACCUACCCAAUCACCACCAGGUCCCAGGCUCAUACCAUGGAGAAUCACUUGCACUCUGAGCUCCAGGUAGAAAACAUUCCCAAACCGUUGCACCUCUCCUCUGGGAUACCCCCACAGAAUUUGGGCAGAAAAACCUUAGUGAGCCCACGUUGCAGGUCUACAGGGAUAAAGUGACCCAUUCACAGGCAGGAAUAGAGGGAGAGUGAUACUCCUGGCACCAGUCAUACUGUACCGCGACUCAAAGGGUCUUGGCCGAUUCCAUAUCGGUCCCCACCCGACAACUAGUUGUCCCCCAGAAGAAUAGGAGACAGUUACUGCAGAUAGCGCACUUAGGGGUCAGUCGCACUAGAUCUCGGUUUACCCACACCUUCUUUUGGCCAGGCAUCUCCAAAGAUGUUCGACAGUACUGCCAAACUUGUGACACAUGUCAAAGGGUAGGGAAGCGAGGAGAUCGCCACAAGACCAAGUUACAACCCUUAUCCAUCAUAGAGGUACCAUUUGGACGAGUAGCCAUAGACAUUAUAGGACCCCUAUCAAAAUCCAGCCCGUCCUACAAAAGUUACAUUCAGACCAUAGUCGACUAUGCGACCCGGUUUUCAGAGGCUGUGUGUAGUGGAAUGGGCCUUGGGACGGUACCCUUAUGCCUGCUCUCGGCUGUCCAUGCCGGUUUUCCCCCUCCCCGUUGUCCCCUAUGUUUGGGGCUUGUAGUCCCUGUGUGGGACAGAUCUCCCUAUUAUUGAACCACCAUGCUUUUCCUCUGUUUUGCCUGGCCGUUCAUUAAAUACCGUUCUCCUGAUUUGCUACCACUGUUCUGGUCAACAACUGAACAAACUACCGAGAUGUGGAGUGUGCCGCUCAUUAACAUCAAUAACCCCGUUCACACCUCCACAAACCGCAACUACAUGAAUGUUCCAAGCUUUCAACUGGGUGGCCCCCGUUUGUAUGUAUGAACACGUUGCGGCCAUCUUAGAAUACGAACAGAGACAGCGGUAUUUGGUUGUCGAGUGUAUGGAACUAAAAUCGGCCACUCGACGGCGCGAACACCGCUGGGACUUCCACUUUCUGUUACAUACGUGGAGAUCCAUGCGAACAGAGUGGCGUUCAGGGGGUGCAAACUCCUGAACUAGAUACUUAUACGAACAUAUACACAAACAGGUUUUUUUUGUAAUAGUUUCAUGUAUUUUUUUUACUCCUGAGCUGACCGACCGCACAGCCUAUUUUCAUAGAACCUUUUUGGGCAGGCGCCUUGUGUGCGGUCAGUCUAAACUAUACCCCGGUGGUGUUUCGGGCUGCGUUCGUGGGAUCUGAGCACUAUUUGGCUAUAUCGGGUGCUCAGACCCAGGUUAUCCGGGUAUAUAGUACCUUGGGUGUACCUUGUGGGGAAAUGUAUAUUUUGGGGUGAUAAAGAUUAUACAUGUCCUGGACCUGAGAGGUAAUGUAAUUAUAUUGUGUACUUUGCUUCAGUCUACUCUCAGGUCCAGUGGGGAAUGCCCCUGGGAUAUGUAUCUGGAAACCCCUUGCAUGGGGAUUCUCAUAAAAGGCCAGCUGUUGCUCCAUUAAAAUCAGUUAUACCCCCAGAGCUGAGUGUCAUCCAGUUGCUGGAGAGGUGGUAUGACAGGGGAGACAGGGGGCGUAGCUUUCAGAUUGGCCAAAAGGUUCUGAUUUUACAACCUGUUCGUCACAAAAAGCUACAGGCCACCUGGCAGGGUCCAUACCAAGUGGUGGAACAGAGAUGCUCUGGUAGUGGGGGGAGAUGCUUGCUCCACGUGAACAUGCUCAAACCCUUGGGAGGAUGGAGGAUGUGGCAGCAAUAUGUGCAUCUGUCUCUGAUGAUUGAGAAUCUUCCCCUACCAGACCUCCUGGUGGAAGAUCAGAUGAGCUAGGAGAAUGGCUAAGCACUCAAGAACGUAUCCAGGUACGACAAUUGCCGGCCAUGAAUGGAGUAUCGUUUUCGAAUGUACCUGGGUACACUCUGCUGGCCACCCACUAAGUAGACACCUCUAAACAUCUGCCUCUCAGACAGACCCCCUAUAGAAUCCCUGAGGCUGUCAGGGAACACAUAAGACAGGAGAUCUAAGAGAUGCUCCGUCUCAGGGUUAUAGAAGCGUCUGAUAGUCCUUCAGCUUCUCCAGUAGUCUUGGUCCCGAAGCAGGAUGUAACUACCUGCUUCUGUGUAGAUUACCAGAGAUUCAAUGACAAAACAGUAUCUUACUCCAUGCCCAAGAUAGACAAGCUCUUAGAUCGGAUGGCCAGAGGUCAGUACCUUAUGACCAUCGAUCUGUGUAAGAGCUAUUGGCAGAUUCCCCUAGCCCAAGAUGCCAUUCCCAAGUCGGCCUUUGUCACCCUGUUUGGCCUGCACCAGUUUAAGGUCAUGCCAUUUGGGAUGAAAAACGCCCCAUCCACGUUCCAACAUAUGGUGGACCAGCUGCUCGAUGGCUUCCAAGAUUAUGCUUGUGCAUACUUGGAUGACAUCACAAUUUUUAGGAGCAUUUAGGGCAUAUGGGAGUGGUGCUAGACUGCAUUAGAGAGGCUGGCUUGAUCCUCAAGCCGAGGAAAUGCCAUAAUGGAAUGGCAGAAGUCCAGUACUUGGGAAACCGGGUGGGGUAUGGGAAAGAGAAGCCCGAACCGACCAAGGUUAAGGCCGUAGCCCAGUGGCCCACCCCCGUACCAAAACCCACAACACUGAUCCCCCUUAACCACAACCCGAAAUACACAGUCUGAUCCUUAACGAAUCGGCUUGGGGCUGUCCAGGGAGUACUCACGGAUGACUUUUCCAGUUCAGUUUGUCGAGAUAACCCAUCGGCAUUGCCAUUCUGUUUCCUGGGCGGUAGUGGAUAAUAAAGUCAUACGGUUGUAACACCAAACACCAGCGCAACAACCGGGCAUUGUCCCCCGCCACUCGGUUUAGCCAUACCAACAGGUUGUGAUUCAUUCAUUUUCGUAUAGGAGACCCCAUGUUGGGGUCUGUACAUAAAAGCCGUGUGUGGCCAAAAUAAAAUCAGUUGACUACUAGAACUAUGUGUCAUUUAGUUGCUGCGGGGAAAGAGUCUUGGAGUAUUACACUGUUUCUUUUAGCUGUGAGGAUUGAACAGCGCAGACACCUAUGCUAGGUAUUGGAGCUCCGCUACAAUUGUGUAGUGGAGGGUGGGGGGUCUUUGGAACAUGGAGAAGUGAGGAGGUGGUGAUUCCUAGGACAUGGAGCAGUAGAGGGGUUCUUUGGAACAUGGAGAAGUAGGGAGGGGAAGAUUCCUAGGAUAUGAAGCAGUAAGGGGAGGAUUUCUAGGUAGGGAUAUGGAUGGAGAGGAAUAUGGAGUAGUGGGUAAUUCUUAGGAACACGGAGUAAUGAGAGAUUCCCAUAAACAUGGAGUAGUGGGGGGUAGGGUGUCUGGUGUUAUUGGUUACCCAGUAUGGUUUUUCCACUAACUUAUCUUUCCUGUCUCCUUAGGGACUCUAUGGCGGUGUCAUUAUCACUGGUGGUAACACUUUACUCCAGGGGUUUAAUGACCGUUUGAACCGUGAGCUUUCCCAGAAAACACCCCCGGUGAGAAAUCAAAAAACAGGAAUUGGAUUUUCACCUUACAUUUCCCCUCAGCACCCAGGGACAUGUAUGUUCUGUCCCACAUGUUAUUCCAGUACCUAGGGUGGAUGGUAUUUCUUAUUACUUGGAUAGAGGUUUAUUUCAUCCAUGUAACACAUGAGACCCAUGUCUCACUCUCUUCUAAACCGUCUUUCUCUCCUUUCUUUCUUCUCUCUUCACAGACCGUCAUUUAAAUUUCCAUUUAUUUACACAGUAAUUACUGCAAAUCUGCUCUGUGUAAUGCGUCAUUAGAGAAUACAUCAUUUUUUUUCUGUGUAACCCCACAAUGCUCCCUUCCUACAUCAUACUGGCCCCUUAAAACCUUUAUCCUAACCCACCCUCCCCCAUUUACAUCAUACCAGCACCUUUAAACAUUUUUUUCUAACCCACCCACCCCCAUUCUACAUCAUACCGGCGAUUUUAAACCUUUAUCCUAACCUACCCUCCUCCAUUCUACAUCAUACCGCCCCUUUUAACCUUUAUCCUAACCCACUCUCCCCCAAGCUACAUCAUUCCGGCCCCAUAAAUUCUUUAUCCUAACCCACCCUCCCCCAUUCUACAUCAUAUCGGCCCCAUCAAACCUUUAUUCUAACCCAACCUCCCCCUUUCUAUAUCAUAUCGGCCCCAUUAAGCCUUUAUUCUAACCCACCCUCCCCCAUUCUACAUCAUACUGGCCUCUUUAAACCUUUAUCCUAACCAACCCUCCUGCAUUCUACAUCAUACCGGCCCCUUUAAACCGUUAUCCUAACCUACCCUCCCCUAUUCUUCAUAAUAUCGGCCCCUUUAAACCUUUAUCCUAACCCACCUCCCCAUUCUACAUCAUACCGGCGCCUUUAAACCUUUAUCCUAACCCACCCUGCCCCAUUUAACAUCAUACCGGCAACUUUAAACCUUUAUCCUAACCCACCCUCCCCCAUUCUACAUCAUACCGGCCCCUUUAAACCUUUAUCCUAACCCACCAUUCUACAUCAUACAUGUCCCUUUAAAUCUUUAUCCUAACCCACUCUCCCCUUCCCUCCCCAUCCUACAUCAUAACUCCCUUUUUAAACCCUUAUCCUAACCAUUCCUUCCCAUCCUAUAUCAUACGUGUCCCUGUAAAUCUUUAUUUGCAUUCUCUUUUCCCAUCAUACAAUCCUUGCUCCCCUCUAACCCUCAGCUUCGCCCCUCUUUGUCUCAGAGUAUGCGUCUGAAACUCCUUGCCAGUAACAGCUCUAUCGAACGUCGCUUCAGUUCCUGGAUUGGUGGCUCCAUUCUGGCCUCUCUGG